UACGAGUGCCCCAAGCGUUAUCCGGAAUUAUUGGGCGUAAAGGGUGUGUAGGUGGUUUUGUAAGUCUGUCGUGAAAUCCCCGGGCUCAACCUGGGAAUUGCGAUGGAGACUGCAAGGCUAGAAUCUGGCAGAGGGGGGUAGAAUUCCACGUGUAGCAGUGAAAUGCGUAGAGAUGUGGAGGAACACCGAUGGCGAAGGCAGCCCCCUGGGUCAAGAUUGACGCUCAUGCACGAAAGCGUGGGGAGCAAACAGG
rnacentral:rRNA from 1 species